rnacentral:rRNA from 1 species
GAUGAACGCUAGUGGCAGGCCUAAUACAUGCAAGUCGAACGGUGUCUUCGGACAUAGUGGCGCACGGGUGCGUAACACGUAUGCAACCUACCUUACAUUGGGGGAUAGCCUUUCGAAAGGGAGAUUAAUACCGCAUAAGACAGUAGCUGGGCAUCCAGCAGCUGUUAAAGAUUUAUCGAUGUAAGCUGGGCAUGCGUCCAAUUAGCUAGUUGGCGAGGUAACGGCUCACCAAGGCAAUGAUUGGUAGGGGAACUGAGAGGUCGAUCCCCCACACUGGCACUGAGAUACGGGCCAGACUCCUACGGGAGGCAGCAGUAGGGAAUAUUGGGCAAUGGACGCAAGUCUGACCCAGCCAUGCCGCGUGCAGGAUGAAGGCGUUAUGCGUUGUAAACUGCUUUUAUACAGGAAGAAACGACUCUUGCGAGAGGCAUUGACGGUACUGUAUGAAUAAGCACCGGCUAACUCCGUGCCAGCAGCCGCCGCGGUAA